AAAGAGGUAUAUCUAAAAUUUAAGAGCUUAGACAAUUUGAAGUAAAAAAAAAAAAAAAGGAACAUGAAAAAACAGGCAAAUUCUAACCAGAAGAAAGCUGACUUCUCUAAAUUAAUAUCAAACAAAAUGUUAUUUAAGGAAGGAAAUACCAUUAGGGAUUAAAUAAUAAAAGGAGCAAUUCCCAGGAUGAUAUAACAAGUUCAAAUUUAAAUGGGGCUCAUAACAUAGCUUUAAAUUAUAUAAAGCAAAAAUGUACAGAGUUGUACUGUGGGCGAAAGUACAAAAACAAGUAAUAAACAAGUUGAAUUUGAGAUGGGUACCUGUGAAACUUCCAGUUAGAGAUGUUAAAGAUGUUGGACAUAAUUGAUCUGCAUCUCCAGAGAGUGGUCAAAGUGAGAGUUAAAAAUGUACAGGUAGUAGAAUGUAUUACUCCAAAUUUAAAAGAGUCUGAGCUUCUCAAGGAGAAUUAUGUAUUCAAGUUUCAAGUCCCUCAUGACUAUCACAGACCCUUAUAAAAGUAGUGCUCAAUAAAGGUUAAAUUGAACAUAUCCUCAUAGAUACUGAUUUUAUUUAGGAUGUACACACUUUCAGCACUUGAGAUUAAUAUUUAUUCAAUGAAUAAGAAACCAUAAGAAAGGAAACUAUAAGAAAGAUUUGAGACAUGAUUUCUGCCUUUAGGAAUAUUUUAAUUUGGUUGGGAGAUUAAAACAAACAAUGCUUUGAAAAAUUAAGAAGCAAUAAUCAAUUGUCCAUCAUCGAGUUUUAGCUGCUGUUGUAUUUAGGUGAGAAGAAAGUUUAACAGAGACUUGAAAUGCUAGAGAAAGCUCUAAAUAGGUGGAAUUUUAGUUGGUCCUUGAAAAAUGCACAUCUUUGGGAAAAAAGAGAAAGAGAACAUUUUAGUUUGAGGAAUUGGCAUGGAUAAAGGCUUAGAAGCUGGAGUUUAGGUACAUGCUUGUGUGACUUCAAUGACACUCGUUUCAAUGCAGUUUAAGUGCUGAGGAGUGGUAAGAAAGCUGGAGAGAUCAGUCACAUGGAGUCAUGGAGGGUCUUAAACUAGCCAGAGAUAUUGGAAUUGCUUUAGUAGAUAACACAGAAUUAAAUAAGAAUGCUCUUAAGUGGGUGUGACAAUUUUUAUUAUAUUUUCAUGAAUAAUCUAGAAGUGGUGUGUCAGAGGACUUGAAUGAAGGAGGGGACAGGAAGCAGGGAAACCUGUCUGGACACCUUUCAAGUAAUCUAAGUCUAAACUUAUUAGGUCCAGGACUAAGGGAAAACCAAGGAAAUGGAUAAAAUGGGGUAAAUUUGAGAGACAUUUCAAUAAGAGAAAUGACAAAAUUUGGCAUCAGAUUAGGAAUCAGCACACAAAAAUAGAAAUAAGUCAAAGAUAAGCCUAGAAUAAUAGUGAUAUCCUGGACAAAUAGCUAAUGUCAAGAAGAGUCAAUAAUUCAUGAAUUCAUAGAAAUUUAGAAACAGGAGCUUAGAAAUGAUAUCUAUAGACACCGCUUUUCAGAGAUGAGGAAAUUAACAGAGAGCUUGAGUGACUAGUUCCUGGUCACCCUGCCUGGGCGACAGAUCGAGACUCCGUCUCAAAAAAAAAAAAAAAAAAAAAAAGAAAAGAAAAAAGAAAAUAGCUAGAAUCCUAGAGGAUUUACCCUGGAAGCAGUUGGUUUAAUGCUACCCGUGGGAGAUCAAUGUUGGAUGGAUGGAUUUGGGAGCAUCUGAAAGGCAGUUGGAGCCAUGGGAGUGGUUGUGCUCUUCCAGUGAGAGAUUAUAUAGGGAAGAAAAAAGAGGAGCAAAGAUAAAGUCACAGGAAAUAUCUACAAUUAGGGAUUCAAACUAGAAGGAAGAUGGUUCCCAAAGAAGUCAGGUAAGGAUCAAACAGACGUGAGGAGUCCUCGUGCAGUGGUUACAGGCACUUUGUGGGGUUGAGGUGGGUGGAUCACUUGAGGCCAGGAGUUUGAAAACAGCUUGGCCAACAUGGUGAAACCCUGUCUCUACUAAGAAUACAAUAACCAGGUGUGGUGGUGCACGUCUGUAAUCCCAGCUACUUGGGAGGCUGAGGCAGGAAAAUCACUUGAACCCAGGAGGCAGAGGUUGCAGUGAGCCAGGAUCGUGCCACUGCACUCCAGCCUGGGCAACAGAGCAAGGCUCUGUCUCAAAACAAACAAACAAAUGAAAAAGCAGACAUGAGGAACGAUUAGAGGUGGCCAGAGUCAGAUUCUGUGGCAUGUUCCCUUAUGAUGAGUUCUGAGUUUUGUUAUUUAUUUUGCACAAAACUGAGUAUCCUAUGGCAUUUCACUGUGAACAUCACUAUAUACUCAUCAUGGUUUUUCUCUGCCAAUACUUUGAUAUUCCGUGUCAGUUUUUUCCUUAUGCAUGGUCCUUUGAUUAUUAAUGUUCAAUAAUAUAAUGAGUUAACAUGAACAAAUGUUUGUUUGAAACACUGACAAUAAUCCACCUGUGUACUACUCUCCCUCUUCCUGUCCCUGCCUUCCCACCCCCAGUGUAAGUACUACUCUUAGGAUUUUUAUGUAGUUUUAUCACUGUAGGUAUACCUACUAAAUAAUUUUUUAAGUUACUUUUUUUUUUUUUUUUAGAUGGAGUCUCACUCUGUUGCCAAGGCUGGAGUGCAGUGGCGUGAUCCCGGCUCACUGCAACCUCUGCCUCCUGGGUUCAAGCAAUUCUCCUGCCUCAGCCUCCUGAGUAGCUGAGAUUACAGGCAUGCAACACCAUACCUGGCUAAUUUUUGUGUUUUUAGUAGAGACGGGGUUGCACAAUGUUGGCCAGGCUGGUCUUGAACUCCUGACCUCAGGUGAUUCGCCCACCUCGGUCUCCCAAAGCACUGGGAUUACAGGCAUGAGCCACUGUGCCUGGCCUUAAGUUACUUUUUUAUGUAGAGGGGGUUUUAUGUUAUUAGUAAUCUUUGAAACUUAUGUUUUCAUGCAUUAUGUUUUUAAGAUUCAUCUGUAUUGUAUGUAGCUGUAGUCCGUUCAUUUUUGCUGCCUUAUAGAAUUCCAUGUUUGAAUGCCACAUUUUAUUUUCCUGUCAAUCGCCGUUUAAUUUCAAGUAGUUUAGGUUGAUUUGAAUAGUGCAACUAUAAGCAUACUUGGACAUGUCUGCUCGUGUAUAUUGCAAUGACUUCUAUUGGGUGUAUAUCUAUUUACACUGAUCUUAAACUCCUUCUGUGAAGCAUAACACAUUAGAAAGGCAUUAGGUGAAUUUUCUGAUUGUGGAAAUUUGAGUCUAAAAGAAUCAACAACUUUCCCUAAGGUGAAUAGAUUCAAAUAUCACCCUAGGAGCUGUGCAUAGUGUGUACUCUAGAUAAGGGUUAGUUACCAAAUGUUUUCUUGGGGGCAAAAUUAUAAGCAACAGUUGGUGACUGAUUUUUUUCCACUGACCCAAUUUAAUGUCAAUGUUAUUUUCAGGAUACAAAAGGAAAACUGAAGGCUAGGGGCAAGGAAAGAGGUAACAGAUUAACUGAAGCAUUAGAAUUGCUCUGCAGCUAUUCCAGAAAAAUUUACCUUCAUCUCCUUUGAGAGUCCCCUUACUCUACCUAGCAGCCUUCCUUGCUGUGAGAGGGUGAACAAUAUGAACAAAAAGAAGCAAGGAAAAGGGCUCUGUCGGAUUUGUUCACUCAGAACCAGUUGAUAGUCUGCCAAGAAAAGUUUCUCACCCUCAAGAGGUUCUGAGCUUAAAAGUCUCUUUGUGAACACGUGAGAAAGGAUCCUUCCCUGCUCAGGAAUCCUGCAUGUAUUUAUGUGUGUGUGCGUGGGCACGAAGGUUUGGAGGAAAGUGGACACUGGACUGAUACAGUACUAUUUUUUUGGAAGUGUUACAAACAUCUUCUCGCUUACAUUAAAAUUGUUGCUAUACCCUGAAUUACAAUAACCCUCUUGUUGAAACAUCACUCAUUUUUACUUGCAAUAAUCACACUUAGAAAUUACACGUAUUUCUCAGCCAAACAACGUAAUUUCCUGCUUUAACUGAGCAUCUUAGCCUUGCACCCAGUGACAAACCUCUCUACCUAUUUCACAUCCACCUCACAGAGUGGAAGGAAGGGAAUGAAAAUCUUAUUAUUUAUGGAUAUAGAAAUUGAGAACAAUACAAAGGGGCCAAUGAAUCAGAGGUGCCAUUCUGCCUUACAGUGGGGUCUUCUUUGCCAGGACCUCAGGCACGAUUCUUGUGAUCUCUGUCUUCUACUCAUUUGCUGUAUUCCCAUUCUUCUUUUUUUCUUAGAAAACUGGUUUUUAAGAAAACAUUAAAAGGCCGGUGCAGUGGCUCACGCCUGUAAUCCCAGCACUUUGGGAGGCCAAGGUGUGUGGAUCACCUGAGUUCAGGAGUUCAAGACCAGUCUGGCCAACAUGGAGAAACCCCAUCUCUACUAAAAAAAAAAAAAAAAAAAAAAAAAAAAAAAAAAAAAAAAAUUAGCCAGGCGUGGUGGCAGGCGCCUGUAAUCCCAGUUACUCAGGAGGCUGAGGCAGGAGAAUUGCUUGAACCCGGGAGGCAGAGGUUGCAGUGAGCCUAGAUCACACCAUUGCACUCCAGCCUGGGCAACAGACUGAGACUCCAUCUCAAAAACAACAACAACAACAAAACAUUAAAUAGUAUACAAAUGCCAUGCAUUUAAGUGGAACACAGUGCCAACACAUUACCAAUUAUUCCAAGCACAUACAUGAAACAUACAUAUAGAAAGUAUUGUUUCCAAAUUGGAAUGUGCAUUCUACAAGGAAAUAUUUAAAUCAAAAUGAAAUAGCGGGGCUUCAUCCUUCUUUGGACAGUACUUUAAAGCAGAGCAAGGAACCAUAGCUCUUUUUCCUCACUGUAUCAAAUGAGGAUGCAUUUCCCAAUUUGUUUAUUCUCCCCCUCAAAGAGUGCUGGAUCUAAGUUGUGCCCAAUUAAGGUCUGUGCUUACAAGUACAUGCCUGUAGCGUCAAUGUUAUUUGAAAAUUCUUUAUGUAAACUUAUUCAGCAUUUAUCCAAACAUAAUAUUAAUCUUUAAGGCUUUUAGAUUUAGCCCUAUAAAGUACUAUUAUCAUUGUAUGUUUACCCAUCUUCAGUUUCCCAUAACAAAAUAUUCAAAUUUGUCUGUAAAUAUGUAGAGGGUAGAAAAGGUGAAUUCUUCUUGUAGAAAGAGCAUUAACCGGAGCAUUGCACUUCUUGUUGGGAAUUAGUGCAGCAAUUUUUCUGUAGAUAAAAGAACCUCUUAUCUUAUGAAGAGCUGCAUUAAUUACAGCCUGAAAUUCUGUUUCACGCAUCCUCUUUCAGAGCCAAGGAGAGAGCAGAGAAAAUGUGUGCUGUUGGAAAUUUGUACUUCCAUUUUCUUUUUCUUCUUGGAAAAUAGCUUUUCUUGCAGGGCUAUCAAUAAGGAUACAGCUGUUGUAUAAAGUGUCUAGAAGAGGGCCUUUCACAGGCUCAAAAAUAAGUUGCUUUUGUUGUUGUUGUCACUAAUCACCUUGGCACACUACUUUUCCAUCAAAUGCCUCUAAUACUAUGAUGAAUAGGAAGACCCUUUUGAAAGAAAUUUGGAAAAAUGAGCAAUUUAGACAAAAGCAAAGAAUUGAGGCAAAGAUCUGGGCUCCUCUGACAAAAAUCAUUUUAAAAAAUUUUGUCCAGAAUUAGCCCAGUCAUUGCUUCCAUUCUCAGCUUUUCACAAGCUGUAGAAAUAGAGCCAAACUUAGUUCCUUCAGGUUUCUUGUUGGCUGCAAAAUGAUAUGAGGCCUUUCAUCUCCUCCCUGAUGUUGCAAUCCUUUCUCUUUGCGACUGCCUCAUCCACCACCUGCCUCACGCCAACACUUUGCCUACUAUUUUCUCCUCUGUCCCUCCUUCCCGUGUGGCCAUUUGGCCCGCUGGCCGGGCAGCAGGCGGGCUGUCACGUGACCGAAUCCCAGCGGCUUUGCAGCACCCACGUCCGAGUUUUCCAUGACGCACCUGCUGCCGUCACGUUGGCUCCCAUGUAAAUAAAUGGUCAAAUCUUUUCCAAAAGUGGUUUUGACAAAGAACGGCUUAAACCGCCAAAGAUGUUGACAAAUGGGCUGUUAUCUAGGAGAGUGAGUAAAGCAACCCAUUUGAACGACAAGAACAGAUAAGGCCCAACUCUUUGUCUCCUUUCCUCUUUUACAUUGAUAUUCCCGGGGAGACAAAGGGGAAGAAGAAAAGGAAAGAAAGGCAGAUCUUUAGCACUGGCUGUCCCAGAGUUGAUUAGGAUGCUGAUCUGUGUGGCAGGCUUCUAGGUUCUCACCCAACUUCUUGGCUGCUAUUCAAAGGAUUUAACAGUGCUCUUUGUAAAUAGUGGUGUACAAAGCCCAACUAAAAAUAGUACAUUUCCAGGGUCUGAAUCGGGUGAGUGGAAUGAGUGGCAAUGGCUGUAUUGUACAAGACAGAUUACAAGCAAGUUACUUGAUGGUACUUUAUAUGCAGGGUUAUUCACAUGCUUCAUCUGGUUUGGUUAAAUAAUGCAAACACAUUUACCAACGUACAUGAUCGUUUUGUUUAUUUAUGCUCUGGAGAGCUUGUGUGUGUUUAUGACAGACAAAUGUACAUGUUCUAUUUUCUGACAAUCAAACAAAGCUCUCCCUGAUGAGGUAAAUAGCUGAGUUAAAUAGUGGAGUGAGGGCUCCUGAGAAUCGCUGAUGUGACACCAUGGUGGUUGUUAAUGACAGGUUUCCUGCUGCGCUUGCUGCCCUGAAGGAUUUUUGCUGAAGGUGGGAAUCAACAAGAGGCUCUGACAACUAGUGAGACUGCUAGUUCUGGCUGAAAUCUCUCUGUGAACCAUGAGUGUGAAAGCUUCUUCCUCACUAGGAGUUUUUCAGGAUGAGAGCAACUGCAUGUGUGCUUCCUUCCCCUCACCCCUGAGGCUGAGCUGUGUUGGGUGGGGAGGUGAGGUUCUCAUCCUUAGGCCAGAACAGAUGUUGCCUGUGCAGGCUGUGGAAACAAGGAGUCACCAGGACCUCUCAAAUAAGAUUCAGACUCAGGGAGAAGCCUAAAGAAAUGAAGUAAGACCAUUAUUUUCCCAGACGAAGAUACUAGGAAAGUGUUUUGCAGUCUUUUGAAAGCCAAAGCUACCCCCUCCUAAUGUUUUCAACCGUAAGCAGUGGUUAUUCCUGUAUAUUUUGAGGUGAGAGAUUGUCUCAUACCAAAAUAUAAUAUAUUUUCUAUGUAAGUAAUUGUCUCUCAGGCAGUUUGGAGACUCUCUUAUUUAAUACAGUGUGGAAACCCUUGGGUGAAGCCCUUGGUCAUUCUGGCAGGUCGAUUUCCUCUUCGAAGAUGGGGACUGAGAACAGGGACCGCUCUGGAAGGAGCUGGGCCAGGAAAAACAUUAUAGAGGAUUCAAGAAACCCAGCCUGUGAAUUUGGCAAACAUUUAUCCUACCCAAAUUUCAUGGGUUUAAAUGGAUGCAUCUUGGGUGAAUUGGGUCUGACAGCCUAGACUCUGUACACGUUGGCACUUGUCACUCUUCUGCAUAUGCUGCAUGACUUUGGGAAAGUCACAGAAACUCUUUGACCCCCCAGUUUCCUCAUCUGUAAAACAGGGAGAAUAAUGCCUACCUCAUUAAGCAGAUUGUUGUGAGGACUCAAUUAGGCAAUGUAAGUAAGGCGCUUGUCACAUGGUCAAAUAGAUCCAUUAUAAUGACAAUGAGAGGCUAUUAGACAGCAUUCCUGGGCAUAGCCUCUCACCUGCUUAAUGACAUCCUAGUGUCUCUCAAAAUUGGUAUCAUCUCACAUGUUGAACACUAUGCAAAUGUCUGAUUCCUUUUGAGUAUUGCCACCAUCAUCAUUCUUAUUAUCUCUGAAUGUUGAAGAAUGAACACUCCAAAAAGCAUUUAAUGACAAUUCCCAUGACCUGUCAUUCCCUUCUUUAUCAACAAGGAUGUCAUAAUUAGGGUUAAUUUCUCUUUGAAGCUGUCUCAGAAGAUAACAUAAGCCAUUAUUUUGACCAUUCUGGAAUUUCCUGGCUUUUAUUUCUUAUGCUAAGGAAUUAGAAUUUUUCUUCACUAAGGUAGAUUUUUGCUUACAUCCCUAAAGAGCCAGGAGAGGAACAAAUUUCACCUCUUGUUUGAAACUGAAUUUUCGAGCCAAUGAAAGACUAUAACUGAAUAGGCUUCUCUUUGGACACAUCCUCAGGCAUGAGUAAAAUGAGUUCUGAAAGACCUGAUGUAGUUUGGAUAUGUGAAGAGCCAAAUGGCUUUUUCAAAGCCAUGGUCAUGGCACAAAACCCCACCAUGUUUGUAAAGACAGCAAGGGCAUGUGAGAGACGAGGUAGCCCUAUGAAUGGAAAAAUCAAACCACGCAACACAAAUGUAGAUGGUAACCCUGCUUGAAUCAUUUGCAAGAUUUGCUUUCAGUACCUGUGCUACAGCAUUCUAAUCUUAUUCUACAAAGAAGGAUCACUGUGACUACUACUGCUACUACUUUUAGUGGUUAUCAUCCAAAGUUAACUAAGUUCCUAUAAAGAAAAUCUUCUUGGCCAAAUAUAUGAAAAUAUUGGAAUUGACACGUUUACAAAAUUUUCUCAUCACUAUACUUAAAAAUCAUAUUGGAAAGGCAAAGGAUUUUGAAAAUUGUCCAGGUUUCACUUUCACUGGCCAAAUUAAAUGAAUUCCUUUACUUUUCCUUCAGAAGGGCACAAUCUUGCCUCUACAGAGCUUCCAUUCCCAGAGGGAGAAAAUGUACACACACAACAACUAAAAGAAUGACACUUUCUCUUCCAGUUCAUUAGAGACUUGCUUGUUUUGCUUUUUUGUUUCACUGUAAGCCUAUCUGCUAAUGUUUCAAUCGUGUUCUAGACGUCAAGAAGGAUUAAAAACUAGCCCUGUGCUCGUGGAUCUUGUUGGGGAGAGGAAUAACUUUCAUCUAAAAACUACUCAAGACAGUACGCAUAAGUGCCAAUUAAAUUUAAUCAGCCACUAAAAUAAUGGCAGAGAUCACCAAGGCUAGGGAAAAUCAACAUCAGGGUAGGAUGGAUGGCAAAGAAAUGCUAUUUGGUAAAGGUAUGUGAAAGCGGCUGUUAUGGGCUGAAUUGUGUCUCCCCAAAAUUCACAUGUUAAAGUCCCAACUCACCCCCAGUACUUCAGAAAGUGACUAUAUUUGUAAACAGGAUGUUUAAGGAGAUAAUUAAGUUACAAUGGGCUUAUUAGAAUAGGUUCUAACCCAUUGUGACCGAUGUGCUCAUGAGAACAGGAGAUUUGGACGGAUGCAGCUACAGAGAGAAGAGCAGGUGAAGACUCAGGGAGAAAGCAGCCAUCUCCAAGCAAAGCAGAGAAGCUUCAGAAGAAACCAACCCUGCUGACACCUUGGUCUCUAACUUCUAGCCUCCAGAAUGUGGAGAAAAUAUUUCUCUGUUGAUGAAGCCACCCAGUCUACGGUACUUUGUUAUGGCAGUCCUAGCAAACGGCAGUCUUGAGAUUUGUUUAGGUAGAAAAAAGGGGUGAAGUGUGUACUAUGCUUCUUCCUCUUCUGUUAUUAAAUAUCUAACUCUUAUUUGCAUUUUCUUUUCCUUGUUUAUGUCCUUGGCCCUACUGUUAGGUAUAGAGGCUUGGGAGGUGAUGAGGAGAAGGGAGUUGAGAAGGGAAUUCAGGAAGGUAGAAGUGGGAGCAGAGAAAAGAAAGAGAUGCCAUCCUAGUGUUUUACUGGAGAUCAGAUUUGGAAGAAGCAACAAAAAGCAGCAAUUAUGAAAGCAGUGAGCAGUUUUGAAACUCAGGCAUGGUAUUAAGAAUAAGGAACUACAGAGAAUUUAACAAGAUUAUCGAAAAUCUCAAAUUUAUCUGUACUCUAUAAGGAAGACUUUAUUGUUCACUUGUGGCCUUUUGAUAAGUUCAACCUUUAUCUUCUGAAGAUAAAUUCCAAUAUUAUCAUUAUAGUUAUGACUUAUUUGAUAUUUAUAACCCUCCAGGGUUGCCUUCCUGCCACAUUAUUUUUGCACUGUUGAAAUACUAUUUUGUCCAUAGUGGAUAUAAGAGAUGUAAAUGUAAUAUGAAAGCAUUUAUAUCAAUUGUAAAGACAUGGCAGGGCUAUUUAGUCAAAUAGGACUUGUCACUCAAGUGAUUCUCAUUACCCAUUAAAUAUUUCUCAGUGAUUCAGUGGUUUUCAAUUGGUUGAGAAACAUAGUGGGGACAAAUGCCAAUAUAUGAAGACAAAUGCUGCCUCAAACCUAAGCUGCCAAUCUAGGAAAACCCUGAAACUAGUCCAACAUAUUUUACCACCCAGACAUAAUUUGUUUUUAAUGGUGAUGUAAAGAAAUCUGUGGUUAAGUGACCACAUUUAAAUUGUUGUUUCUUAAAGAAAGGGCUUAUGUUUGGUCUAAGUCCCUGGGAGUACUUUAGUCUUAGUAGUGAAUUUAGAAAAAUGUAAGUUUCUUCUGCCUGCUAUUUUGCAAGUUGUGCUGGGAGUGAGCAGGAAAUAGAAUUCCCAAGGAUGACUUUUAUGGCCUGAUCUUUGCAACUAGAAAAGUAUUUGGUGUGGGGCACAUUGAUUGUUUCAGAAUCUGCUUUUUGUCCUCCCUGGCUCUGAAAGGUCUAUUGCCUUCAGGGAUCCCUCCUGGGCCAAGGCUUAUGGGCUUUCCCUAAGGGCUUCCUGCCCUGGCUGGCUGGUGGCUUCUGGGGAGCCGGCCAGGCCCUGCCUCAGCCUGCUGCUGUGGCCUUGUUUGUUCACUGCUCUUCAUCCUUUGGUUCAGAUUCAUGCUCUUUACUCCUCCCUCAGACUGGAUGCUUUCACCUUGUUCAAAUUCUCGGCUGCCCUCACCUAGUGUCACUUUGAUCACCUUCCUAAAAUCAAGGGACAGUCAUCUCUGCUGUCAUGCUGAGCCCGAGUUCCUGACAUGCCAGCCUGGGUCUUCUGCUUUUCCAGGAGAAAAAGUUUAACACGUAAAACAUCUUAAGCACUUCUCCGUAGCUCUGUCAAUAGUAUAAUGUUUGGCUCAAUAAACACUUAUUGCAUGAGAGAAAAUAAAGGAAGAAAAAAGAGAGAGAGAAAGAAAAAGGGACAGAAGGAAAGAAAAGAGAAAGAGAGAGAGAGAAGGGGAGAAAGAAAGAAGGAUGGGCCAGGUGCAGUGGCUCACGCCUAUAAUCCCAGCACUUUGGGAGGCUGAGGCGGGUGGAUCAUGAGGUCAGGAGAUUGAGACUAUCCUGGCGAACACGGUGAAACUCCGCCUCUACUAAAAAUACAAAAAAUUAGCUGGGCGUGGUGGUUGGCGCCUGUAGUCCCAGCUACUCGGGAGGCUGAGGCAGGAGAAUGGCAUGAACCCUGGAGGCAGAGCUUGCAGUGAGCUGAGAUCAUGCCACUGCACCCCAGCCUGGGCGACAGAGCAAGACUCCAUCUCAAAAAAAAAAGAGAGAAGGAUGGAAAGAGAGAAGGAAAGAAGGGCAAGAAAGAAGGAAGGAAAGAAAGAAAGUUGGCUUUACGCAUAAUUUCUAUUUCACUUGCGUCCGUGUGAAGAGACCACCAAACAGGCUUUGUGUGAGCAAUAAAGCUUUUAAUCACCUGGGCGCAGGUGGGCUGAGUCCAAAGAGAGAGUCAGCAAAGGGAGAUAGGGGUGAGGCCGUUUUAUAAGAUUUGGGUAGGUAAAGGAAAAUUAUAGUCAAAGGGGGGUUGUUCUCUGGCGGGCAGGAGUGGGGGUCACAAGGUGCUCAGUAGGGGAGCUUUUGAGCCAGGAGGAGCCAGGAGAAGGAAUUUCACAAGACAAUGUCAUCAGUUAAGGCAGGAACAGGCCAUUUUCAUUUCUUUUGUGGUGGAAUGUCAUCAGUUAAGGUAGGAACCAGCCAUCUGGAUGUGUACGUGCAGGUCACAGGGGAUAUGAUGGCUUAGCUUGGGCUCAGAGGCCUGACAUUCCUGUCUUCUUAUAUUAAGAAAAAUAAAAUGAAAUAGUGGUAAAGUGUUGGGACCGUGACAAUUUUGGGGGGUGGUAUGGAGAGAUAAUGGGCGAUGUUUCUCAGGGCUGCUUCGAGCGGGAUUAGGGGCGGCGUGGGAACCUAGAGUGGGAGAGAUUAAGCUGAAGGAAGGUUUUGUGGUAAGGGGUGAUAUUGUGGGGUUGUUAGAAGAAACAGUUGUCAUUUAGAAUUAUUGGUGAUGGCCUGGAUAUGGUUUUGUAUGAAUUGAAAAACUAAACGGAAUAAGAGAAAGAGAAAAACAGGUAUUAAAGGUCUAAGAAUUGGGAGGACCCAGGACAUCUAAUUAGAGAGUGCCUAAGGAGGUUCAGCAUAGCCCUGGAGCAAAGAUUAUUUAUUUACUUUAAGAGUUAAGAGUGGCAGUUUGGGGAUAGCACCAGGAGAUAUCAUCUGUGAUGACUUGGAGAAACAGAGUAAACCGGCAGUGUAAACAAGAGCAGAGCAUGUAUGAGUAGUUGAGAAUGGUGAAUAGGAGUAUGACUAGACAGAAGAUAGUAGGGAUGACAAGUUUUGGGGGGCACAGUCCAAGUUGGUCUGGUGUCUGGAAUGAGACCAGGGCCUAAUAAAAAGGAGCAUCUAUACAGGAGCUCAAAUGGGCUGUACCCUGUAGCAUUCUGAGGACAGGUCUGACUUCUGAGAAGGGAAAAUGGUAAAAGUAUUGUCCAGUCCUUUUUAAGUUGGUGGCUGAGCUUGGUGAGGUGUGUUUUUAAAAGACCUUUAGUCCGUUCUACUUUUCCUGAAGACUGAGGACUGUAAGGGAUAUAAAGGUUUCACUGAAUACCAAGAGCCUGAAAAACUGCUUGGCUGAUUUGACUAAUAAAGGCUGGUCUGUUAUCAGACUGUAUAGAGGUGGGAAGGCUAAACCGAGGAAUUAUGUCUGACAGAAGGGAAGAAAUGACUGCAGUGGCCUUCUCAGACCCUGUAGGAAAGGCCUCUACCUAUCCAGUAAGAGUGUCUUCCUAGACUAAGAGGUAUUUUAGUUAUCUGACUUGGGGCAUAUUGAGUAAAGCUAAUUUGCCAGUCCUGGGUGGGGGCAAAUCCUUGAGCUUGAUGUGUAGGGAAGGGAGGGGGCCUGAAUAAUCCUUGAGAAGUAGUAGAAUAGCAGAUGGAACACUGAGAAGUUAUUUCCUUGAGGAUAGAUUUCCACGAUGGAAAGGAAAUGAGAGGUUUUAAGAGGCGGGCUAGUGGCUUGUACUAUAGCGUAGCCUGCCUUUGCUGGUGUGUGGCGAUUAGGCCUGGUGGAACUGCCAUCAAUAAACUAAGUGUGAUCAGGGUGAGGAACAGGAAAGAAGGAAAUAUAGGGAAAUGGGUUGAAUGUCAGGUGGAUCAGAGAGAUGCAGUCAUGAGGGUCAGGUGUGGUAUCCAGAAUAAUGUGGGAGGCCGGUUUGAAGUCUGGGCCAGGAACAACGGUAAUUGUGGGAGACUCAACAAAGAGUGAGUACAGCUGAAGGAGCCGGGGAGCAGAAAAUAUGUGCGUCAGGUGGGAGGAAGAAAAUAGAUUUUGGAAGUUAUGAGAACUGUAGAGUGAGUUGAGCAUAGUUUGUCAUUUUUAGGGCCUCUAAAAGUAUUAAAGCAGUGGCAGCCGCUGCACGCAGACAUGAGGGCUAGGCUAAAACAGUAAGGUCAAGUUGUUUGGACAGAAAGGCUACAGGGUGUGGUCCCGGCUCUUGUGUAAGAAUUCUGACUGCACUAACCAUGCCUAGGAAGGAAAGGAGUUGUUGUUUUGUAGAAGGGAUUGGGGUUUGGGAGAUAAGCCGGACACGAUCAGCAGGGAGAGCACAUGUGUUUUUAUGAGAAUUAUGCCGAGAUAGGUAACAGAUGAGGAAGAAAUUUGGGCUUGAUUGAAGUAAUGGGGGCUGUCUGUGAAGACUUGCGGCAGUACAGCCCAGGUAAUUUGCUGAGCUUGAUGGGUGUCAGGGUCAGUCCAAGUGAAAGCGAAGAGAGGCUGGGAUGAAGGGUGCAAAGGAAUAGUAAAGAAAGCAUGUUUGAGAUCCAGAACAGAAUAAUGGGUUGUGGAGGGAGGUAUUGAGGAUAGGAGAGUAUAUGGGUUUGGCACCUUGGGGUGGAUAGGCAAAGCAAUUUGGUUGAUAAGGCGCAGAUCUUGAAUUAACCUGUAAGCCUUGUCUGGUUUUGGGACAGGUGAAAUGGGGGAAUUUUAAGGGGAGUUUAUAGGUUUUAGAAGCCCAUGCUGUAGCAGGUGAGUGAUAACAGGCUUUAAUCCUUUUAAAGCAUGCUGUGGGAUGGGAUAUUGGCGUUGAGUGGGGUAAGGGUGAUUAGGUUUUAAUGGGAUGGUAAUGGGCAUGUGAUCAGUUGCCAGGGAAGGAGUAGAGAUGUCCUAUACUUGUGGGUUAAGGUGGGGGGAUAGGAGAGGAAGAUGCAAAGGAGGCUUUGGGUUGGGGAGAAGGGCAGUAAUGAGAUGCAGCUGUAGUCCAGGAAUAGUCAGGGAAGCAGAUAAUUUAGUUAAAAUGUCUUGGCCUAAUAAGGGAACUGGGCAGGUGGGGAUAACUAAAAAAGAGUGCAUAAAAGAAUGUUUUCCAAGUUGGCACCAGAGUUGGGGAGUUUUAAGAGGUUUAGAAGCCUGGUCGUCAAUACCCACAACAGUUAUGGCCCUUGAAAAUAAGGUAAUGUGGAGUGGGUAGCUUCCGUAGUAUUUAAGAAGGGGACGGACUUACCCUCCACUGUGAGAGUUACCUGAAGCUUGGCAUCCGUGAAGGUCUAGGGGGCUUCCGAGGCUAUCAGGCAGCAUCAGUCUUCAGCCGCUAAGCCAAGAAGAUCUGGGAGGGAGUCAGAGAGCCUUGGGCCAGAGUUCCAGGGGCUCUAGGGGGUGAGUUGGACAGUCUGAUUUCCAGUGGGGUCGCAUACAGAUGGGACACGGCUUAGGAGGAAUCCUGGGCUGCAGGCAUUCCUGGGCUGCAGGCAUUCCUUGGCCUGGUGGCCAGAUUUCUGGCACUUGUAGCAAGCUCCUGGGGGAGGUGGGCCUGGAGGAAUGCCUGGCCACUGUGGUUUAGGCAUUUGGAAGUUCUUGUGUGCUGGAGAUGUGGCUGGGGUUUGUCUCACAGUGGAGGCAAGGAAUUGUACAUCUUGAAGGCCAGGUUAAUUAAGUCCUGUUGUGGGGUUUGAGGGCUGGAAUUUAAUUUUUGGAGUUUUAUUUAAUGUUGGGAGCAGAUUGGGUAAUAAAAUGUAUAUUGAGAAUAAGACGGCCUUUUGAUCUUUUAGGGUCUAGGGCUGUAAAGCGUCUCAGGGUUGCUGCCGAACGAGCCAUGAACUGGGCUGGGUUUUUUAUAUUUGAUGAAAAACAGUGUAAA
rnacentral:lncRNA from 10 species